GCAAGUGACACGGGCGCAGGAGGCGGAGGAGAACUAUGUCAUCAAGCGGGAGCUGGCGGUGGUGCGGCAACAGUGCAGCUCGGCAGCUGAGGACCUGCAGAAGGCCCAGAGCACCAUCCGGCAGCUACAGGAGCAGCAGGGCUCAUAUCUGCCCCGCCUCAGCACCUGGCCCUCCUGUUCCUUUCUGGGGUAAGGGGAACCCAGAGACAAGCGCAGAUUCUCCCCCAGCAGCUCCAC
rnacentral:sRNA from 1 species